rnacentral:rRNA from 1 species
AACCUUUACACUGCACGACAGUGCGAUAGGGGGACUCCGAGUGCGAGGGCAUACAGUCCUCGCUUUUCUGUACCGUAGGGUGGUACAGGAACAAGUGCUGGGCAAGACCGGUGCCAGCCGCCGCGGUAAUACCGGCAGCACGAGUGAUGGCCGAUAUUAUUGGGCCUAAAGCGUCCGUAGCUGGCCGGCCAAGUCCGUUGGGAAAUCCACCCGCUUAACGGGUGGGCGUCCAGCGGAAACUGUCCGGCUUGGAGCCGGAGGACCUGAGGGGUACGUCCGGGGUAGGAGUGAAAUCCUGUAAUCCUGGACGGACCGCCGGUGGCGAAAGCGCCUCAGGAAGACGGACUCGACAGUGAGGGACGAAAGCUAGGGUCUCGAACCGGAUUAGAUACCCGGGUAGUCCUAGCUGUAAACAAUGUCCGCUAGGUGUGGCGCAGGCUACGAGCCUGCGCUGUGCCGUAGGGAAGCCGUGAAGCGGACCGCCUGGGAAGUACGUCCGCAAGGAUGAAACUUAA